UUUAUUGCUUUAUGAUAAUUAUUUAUAUGGAAGACUAUAAAAAUUUAAUAGAACAAAUAAGAUAAAAGAUGUUUUAUUAUGAACUCCUACAAAAUUAAAGAAAAAUGCACCAACCUUGACCUGGGUUCUGUAUGCAAGUUAAUAAAUAGUGAACUUAAGACAUAAUUGCGAUAGUUCUUAGAUAUAGUUGUUAAUGUCGAAGUGAAAAUGAAUUUAGUGAUUUUCAUUAUUUGGACAUGUUUAAAAGUCACAUUAUCCGCUCAAAAUGAUACUGAUCUAAUCGAAUGUUACGGCAAAAUAUGUCCAGCCGGUAGCAUCAUAUGUAAACGUACACGGGAAACUGUUGAAAAAAACAGGAUAAUAAAUACAACUAUUGAAUGUCAAGAUUUCAGUGGAUCUACAUUACACUCCAAUAGUACUUUCGAAGAUAAUACUGAUGAAUCCGUAAAUAUCAAAAGUACGUCAUUUCAAAUGACACUGAGUGGAAAUAAUAUAACAUACAAUAAUGGCGAAGGAUUGUCCUUUAAAAGUGUAUCUUAUAAUUAAAUAUUGUAAUUUAUAAUUGUUUUCAUAUAAUAAAAAACAGUUUAAAUAUUA